rnacentral:lncRNA from 1 species
CACAGCACUUUACGGUUUGUCUGGCCCUCUCUGUUGGCCCGUGAGGGAGGGCGCACGGGACACUUGGCUGGAUUUCCCGCUGAGGCAACAAGCUCAGGAAGGCGUGAGUCGCCGGUGGGGCCCCGGCCUCAGGGGGCCCCCGGACGGCUCUCCGGCAGCACUUGGGGCAGCACCUGUGCCCUCCUCCCCAGCCUCGCGCCCGGGCCUGCCCUUUCCGGAACGGGAGGAUCCGACAUCCGUCAGGCUGAACAAUUUGAAAACCCCAAAGAUGUGCGGUGCCCUGAGUCUGUGGGGAGCAGAGCCCCGGACUCGGCCUGGGUCGCGGCUCCUCCAGCGAGGACCCUGCGGCUCGAGGCACUGAGACCUUGGGAGGACUUCUCCUGGAGCUGCGUGUGUGCGGGCUGCCCUCCGGGUCGUUGUGCUGCACGGCCGAUGGGAUCCGUGUGUGGGGAGAGGAUGUGCUCCCAGCACACCCCGUCCAGCCCAGCUCAGAGCCACUGGAAGGAAGGCCAGCCUGGGAAGACGCUGGCGUGACAGUCCUGGGGCCACCACCAGCCGCUGCUUGAUUCUCCCUCGGCUGUGGAUUCAGGCCUGCCUUCCAGCCCUUUCCGAGUGCCGGCAACUUUCCAAGGUGUUAGACACGUCCUGGUUGAUGAGCAGCCCCUUUCUCCCCUGAGCAAAGGGUCCAGUUGGAGAGACAGAUGUGAAGCCAGGGGACGUGCAGGGUCAUCUAAGUGUCGGCCAGGACAGGCGCAGGUGGGCGGCUUGGACCCUGGAUUGGUGCUUGUCUCUGUGACAAAGAGGGAAAUUUGCUGCAGAAAACGCACCUCGCCUGCACCUUGGCGGCCUGGGAGGCCGCGAGGAGUGGAAGCCCUGAAAGCAUGUGUCACAGGCUCGGACCCCAGGGCCGAAAGUCCUUCUUCUCAGCAGAGAAGACACCCCACAAGGCUGUGUGCUGCUCGUAAGCAUCUGACAGGCAAAGUGAGGUUUCCAGACAGAAGAACUUGCCUGAGCUUGAACCGUUGGAA